UGACAGAGGGCUUCGAGUCAUAGGCAAAGAUGCCGUGGCAUUCGCCGGGGGAGUUUUUUGACAUAGUGUUUAGUGUCCGGUUGGGAAUGGAUGGUUCUGGAUUUCUGUGGGACAGAGUUCCCAGGGAAAGGUGUGACCUUUUGGGUGACUUGACAAUGAGUAGUUUUAAGUUAGUCUGUGAGACUGGAUUACUUAGUUAUCGACUUAGUUAUUGUAAAUAAACGUUAUGUUAUGA